AAUUGCGAAGAUGGCAACACAAAGCUCGGUACCGUACUGGAAUUGCUGCAGUGGAAGGCAGAGAAUGCUGUGCCUGACAAAGGAUUUGAGAAGCUAUUGAAAAUAUUGAAGAAGAAGCUUCCAAAGGAUAACGAAUUGCCCGACAGUACAUACGCAGCAAAGAAGGUCGUAUGCCCUCUAGGAUUGGAGGUGCAGAAGAUACAUGCAUGCCCUAUUGACUGCAUCCUCUACCGCGGUGCGUACAAGGAUCUGAACGCAUGCCCGGUAUGCGGUGCAUUGCGGUAUAAGAUCAGACGAGAUGACCCUGGUGAUGUUGACGGCGAGCCCCCCAGGAAGAGGGUUCCUGCGAAGGUGAUGUGGUAUGCUCCUAUAAUACCACGGUUGAAACGUCUGUUCAGAAACGAAGAGCAU
rnacentral:rRNA from 1 species